rnacentral:rRNA from 1 species
CCUACGGGUGGCAGCAGUGAGGAAUAUUGGUCAAUGGACGAGAGUCUGAACCAGCCAAGUAGCGUGAAGGAUGACUGCCCUAUGGGUUGUAAACUUCUUUUAUAUGGGAAUAAAAUGUUCCACGUGUGGGAUUUUGUAUGUACCAUAUGAAUAAGGAUCGGCUAACUCCGUGCCAGCAGCCGCGGUAAUACGGAGGAUCCGAGCGUUAUCCGGAUUUAUUGGGUUUAAAGGGAGCGUAGGUGGAUUGUUAAGUCAGUUGUGAAAGUUUGCGGCUCAACCGUAAAAUUGCAGUUGAAACUGUCAGUCUUGAGUACAGUAGGGGUGGGCGGAAUUCGUGGUGUAGCGGUGAAAUGCUUAGAUAUCACGAAGAACUCCGAUUGCGAAGGCAGUUCACUGGACUGCAACUGACACUGAGGCUCGAAAGUGUGGGUAUCAAACAGGAUUAGAUACCCCAGUAGUC